UACUCAAAACAAUCUUACUUCCUAUCUCUGUCAGAAUGAAAUUCACUCUUUAACAUAACUUACAACACCCUAUUUAUUCCAGAAGCGCUGGAAUUAUCUGCAAACUAAGACAACAUGUGGUAACAAACUGAACGCAGGAGUUUACAAGACUUGCAAAAUGUAAAACAAUGUGACUUGUCACACUAAUUCCUGUGUAAGAGCAUAGGCUCUGACAGCAGACAACAGCAUUGUAUCCACUCUGCCAUUUAUUAGUUCUGGACACUUGGGUCAUAUAUUUUAACCUCAAAUGUGCCUGUGCCUCAGUUUACUCUACUGUAAAAUGGGCAUAAGUAUCUGUCCUAUAAGGAUGUUGUGGCUUUGCAGUUUAUGGGAUCUAUUAGGAAGAUGCUCCCAGAGGGGUCAAAUGUUCCCAGCAGUGGCAUGGCAGAGCACCAAUGAUGGCAGAUGCUCAGAUAUGGCUGGGCUCGGUGGCUCACGCCUGUAAUCCCAGCACUUUGGGAGGCCAAGGCGGGCAGAUCAUGAGGUCAGGAGUUCGAGACCAGCCUGGCCAACAUAGUGAAACCCCGUCUCUACUAAAAAUACAAAAAAUUAGCCAGGCUUGGUGGCGGGCGCCUGUAAUCCUAGCUACUCGAGAGGCUGAGGCAGGAGAAUCGCUUGAACCAGAGAGGCAGAGGUUGCAGCGAGCGGAGAUCGCACCACUGCAC
rnacentral:lncRNA from 1 species